rnacentral:rRNA from 1 species
CAGCAGCCGCGGGAAUACAGAGGGUGCGAGCGUUAAUCGGAUUUACUGGGCGUAAAGCGUGCGUAGGCGGCUAAUUGAGUCGGAUGUGAAAUCCCCGAGCUUAACUUAGGAAUUGCAUUCGAUACUGGGAAGCUAGAGUAUGGGAGAGGAUGGUAGAAUUCCAGGUGUAGCGGUGAAAUGCGUAGAGAUCUGGAGGAAUACCGAUGGCGAAGGCAGCCAUCUGGCCUAAUACUGACGCUGAGGUACGAAAGCAUGGGGAGCAAACAGGAUUAGAUACCCCCGUAGUCCCUGUCUCUUAUAC